AUUGAACGCUGGCGGCAGGCCUAACACAUGCAAGUCGAACGGUAACAGGAAGAAGCUUGCUUCUUUGCUGACGAGUGGCGGACGGGUGAGUAAUGUCUGGGAAACUGCCUGAUGGAGGGGGAUAACUACUGGAAACGGUAGCUAAUACCGCAUAACGUCGCAAGACCAAAGAGGGGGACCUUCGGGCCUCUUGCCAUCGGAUGUGCCCGAUGGGAUUAGCUAGUAGGUGGGGUAACGGCUCACCUAGGCGACGAUCCCUAGCUGGUCUGAGAGGAUGACCAGCCACACUGGAACUGAGACACGGUCCAGACUCCUACGGGAGGCAGCAGUGGGGAAUAUUGCACAAUGGGCGAAAGCCUGAUGCAGCCAUGCCGCGUGUAUGAAGAAGGCCUUCGGGUUGUAAAGUACUUUCAGCGGGGAGGAAGGGAGUAAAGUUAAUACCUUUGCUCAUUGACGUUACCCGCAGAAGAAGCACCGGCUAACUCCGUG
rnacentral:rRNA from 1 species